rfam:Microvirga sp. V5/3M plasmid unnamed1, complete sequence.
CGCGUAUUUUGCCCAGGCGGAGCUCGACCGCCGCUUCAAGCCAUGAAGGCGUUUAUCGACGAGCAUGGUGAGGUUUACGGGGUCGAGCCGAUCUGCCGUGUUCUGCCGAUCGCCCCG